UGAGAUGGAUUUUUCACUAUCCCAUAAACA
rnacentral:tRNA from 1 species